rnacentral:rRNA from 1 species
GUAGGUGAACCUGCGGAAGGAUCAUUGUCGAGACCCACUGACGAGGACGACCGUGAAUGCGUCAACGAUUGCUCGUCGGGCUCGUCCCGACAACACCCCCGAAUGUCGGUCCGCCCUCGGGCGGGACGACCGAGGGGAUGAACUACCAACCCCGGCGCGGAUAGCGCCAAGGAACACGAACAUCGAAGUCGGAGGGCCUCGCUGCAUGCAGGAGGCUACAAUUCCGACGGUGACCCCAUUGGACGACUCUCGGCAACGGAUAUCUCGGCUCUCGCAUCGAUGAAGAACGUAGCGAAAUGCGAUACCUGGUGUGAAUUGCAGAAUCCCGUGAACCAUCGAGUCUUUGAACGCAAGUUGCGCCCGAGGCCAUCCGGCUAAGGGCACGCCUGCCUGGGCGUCACGCUUUCGACGCUUCGUCGUUGCCCCCUCGGGGGGUGGGGGCGAACGCGGAGGAUGGCCCCCCGUGUCGGAAAGGUGCGGUUGGCCGAAGAGCGGGCUGUCGGUGGUUCUCGAACACGACGCGUGGUGGAUGCCUUGUGCGAGCCGUACGUCGUGCCUUCGGAACCCGGGCGAGGCCUCGAGGACCCAAGUCGUGGUGCGAGUCGAUGCCACGGACCGCGACCCCAGGUCAGGUGGGGCUACCCGCUGAGUUUAAGCAUAUCAAUAAGCGGAGGA